UUUAUUGAUGAAAGUGGUGUUCUGUGACAUCUUGGCCUGCUUGUAAAACACAAACGAAGAACGCGAAGUUGCAGCUAUGGCGAACUUGUAAUCUAAACAAAAACCCAAGUCUAAACGGUGCCCUAAGGGCUGAAUAUAUGAGGGAAUAGAGAGGGAUUUUUGUGACCCGUGGAGGAGGGGUCCGAAAACGACCCUAAACUCGAUUUCGCCACACAUACAGACUCUAAAAAUAGUUUAUGUGGUAGUAUUUAAAAAUUACAUGGGCCUGGCCCAAAACUAAGGUGACGCAACACCUAUAAUAGCCUAUGGAUGAAAUUUACGAAGUGACAUCUUGUAUAUUUUGUCCAAUCCUUCAUUCUUUCCUUAUGGUGGCUUCAAAGUCCGAAAAUCACCACUCGAAGCUCCCUUGUUCUUUCCCGCAUGUGCACCUUUCACUCCAUGCUUGAUCCCGCUCCAAUGGCCAUCCUCCUUGUCCAUGCUAUGUCCUUCAUUCAUAAGCAAAACAAAAUUAUCUAAUUUAGCCAGCAUCAUAUGUUCAUGAACAUUAGAAGGAUUUCCAAGAAACAGAAGUACCUGGUAAUUCAAUUGGCAUGCGCGAGCUCUAGUAACUGGUCCAGUAGGUAUAGCAAGUGAAACAAUGGUAUCAAUGUCCUUAUCACACCUCAUGUGCAUAUACUAGCCCUUUGCUAUGUUGCCAAGUGCUUUCUUUUACUGCUGCCUCAAGAAUCCAACACACCAUCGUUGGCAAAUACAUUAUCAACCGUUAUUGUCAUCACUCUUUCCAUACCCCCAUUCAGCCAUGCAUUUAACCAAGUUUUUCCCAAUAUCUUCACCCUUGUGCCCCUCAACCAAGAAGAAAUUCAUGACUUUCUUGUACAUAAUCCAGCUUUCAUCAAUAAAACUCGUUGUCAUGGUCAUAUAUCCAUCUAGUUGCUGAGAUGACCAACAAUUUGUUGUUAAACAAACUCUUUGACAAUAAUAUUAUAAAACAUUCUUUACUUUGUCUUUCUCUUUGAAGAAACAAUGAACAACAUGUCUUGUGCAUGUUCUUAUAGAUGGAGGAGUGAAACAUGGGCAAGCUUUGUGUGGCGCCGGUUUUUUAGAAAAUAAUUUCUAGAAAACAGGUCUUUGUGUUCACCAGCCCCAGAACUACUGUUAGCUGGUGGAAACUCACUUGAUACAAAAAAACACCCAAGAAAAAUAAAAAAUCUGGGUUACAAGACCAUGAAGGUCUACUGGUUUGGACAAAAGUCUGAGGCUCACGGCGGAAGCGAGUCGAGGAAUCUCGAGUGCCCAUGGAACUCCAUUCCCACAGGAACAACUAACCUGGAUAAAUUCCUAUCUCACAAGGCUGCUAUCCUCGACUCCUAGGUCUCUGGGUUGACGACAUUGUGCUCCUCUCCGAUGAAAUCUGGCCAAGAUAAUAGCCAGGGGCAAGCCAGUGAGUACUUUAAAUGUACUCGCAAACAUCAAGAAAGCAGGUAAGAUUAAGCACGUGAGAUGCAUGCUGAAAUCAUUUAAUAACUUGAUCAUGCCACAAAAAUUAUUCACAUAAGCAUUCAUGCAGUAAUUUCAUUUCCACCAAAAAUGUAUAAUCAAGCAGGGGAAAAGUAACAGUAAAUAUAAGUUUGUCGAUCGGGCGUCUCAGGCGGCACCUCGGAAAGAUAAGCAGUACAAGCCACAGUCGGGCGUCUAGGCCACACCGCAUAAAUGGGCUUAAGAAAUAUUACUAUACAUGCCACAAUCGGGAAUCUAAGCAACACCACAUAUGGGGCUUAUAUGAAGAUAAUAAAAAUUGCUAGAGUCGGGCAUCUGAACGACACCACAUACAUGGCAUAAUAAAAAUAAAUACUUGCCACAGUUCGGCGUCUAAGCAACACCACAUACACGGCUUAAUAAAAAUAAUACUCGACAUAGUCGGGCAUCUUAGCGACACCAUAGAAAGGGCUUAUAUGGAAUAUUAAUAAUAACGAUGAACAUCCAGGAGGUAGAACCGUCCUAGGGAUAUUCAACAAUCAUAAUCAAAAGGGUUAGUCCACAGUCAAAUAAUAUUUAUGAUCAUCCACGAUAUACCAAGAUGAUUUGUCCACCUCGGUAAAACAUGAAAAUAAUAAAGGUUAUCAUCCUGAACCGGUUCAGAGGCUUCAUCCUAUUUAGUUUAGUUCCUUCGAAGACUGACACUCAGACCGACACUUGACUAAUCAACCAGUCGUCCUUGACCAUGGACACGGCUACUCGAAUAGUUUUCGCUCUGCAGAGGUUGUACUCUUUACCCACAACCGACGGGUUCCAAUAGUCGCUCGGACUAAUCCCACGUACGGUAUUUAGAAGUAAACACUCAGAACCAGUACACGCCCAUUUUUAACCCCGUGAAGAUCAGCACCAACCGGACUACGCUGUCAGGUAAAAACCAUGAGACGGGGAGGUCACAUCCUUGACUAGCAUGGGAUCACAUUUAUACCACGCUCAACAAGGGAUGGGCCAUUCCCUCUCGGUCCCAGAUCGGAAAACACCCAUACCCCCUGAUCGAAUGACUGGAUUUAUUCUGGUGCCCCAGAUACCUUCAUCCCGGCCUCUCUACCUGGUGUGUUCUCGGUAAUAGGUUUACGACCUACUAAAUAGUAUCCCCUUUCGGGAAGACUUUUGGCAGCAUGAAAGGUAAGGUGACGUACCGACAAGAUUCGAUCUACGGCCGACUUAGGAGGUUUAAUAUCUACCUGCAAAGAUAGUGUCGCACAAUUUUUCUGGAUGAUAUAUCUCAGUGUCACCACCAUCAUACCUUGUCAUGCCUUCAUUGACCACUCUCGUUCGACGAGAUGUCAGCCCAUGGUCUCAUCUCUACCAC
rnacentral:lncRNA from 1 species